CCGUACACAAAAAUGCACAUGCUGUGAGCUCGAUGAGUAGGGCGGGACACGUGGUAUCCUGUCUGAAUAUGGGGGGACCAUCCUCCAAGGCUAAAUACUCCUGACUGACCGAUAGUGAACCAGUACCGUGAGGGAAAGGCGAAAAGAACCCCGGCGAGGGGAGUGAAAAAGAACCUGAAACCGUGUACGUACAAGCAGUGGGAGCACAGAGCAAUCUGUGUGACUGCGUACCUUUUGUAUAAUGGGUCAGCGACUUAUAUUCUGUAGCAAGGUUAACCGAAUAGGGGAGCCGAAGGGAAACCGAGUCUUAACUGGGCGUUAAGUUGCAGGGUAUAGACCCGAAACCCGGUGAUCUAGCCAUGGGCAGGUUGAAGGUUGGGUAACACUAACUGGAGGACCGAACCGACUAAUGUUGAAAAAUUAGCGGAUGACUUGUGGCUGGGGGUGAAAGGCCAAUCAAACCGGGAGAUAGCUGGUUCUCCCCGAAAGCUAUUUAGGUAGCGCCUCGUGAAUUCAUCUCCGGGGGUAGAGCACUGUUUCGGCAAGGGGGUCAUCCCGACUUACCAACCCGAUGCAAACUGCGAAUACCGGAGAAUGUUAUCACGGGAGACACACGGCGGGUGCUAACGUCCGUCGUGAAGAGGGAAACAACCCAGACCGCCAGCUAAGGUCCCAAAGUCAUGGUUAAGUGGGAAACGAUGUGGGAAGGCCCAGACAGCCAGGAUGUUGGCUUAGAAGCAGCCAUCAUUUAAAGAAAGCGUAAUAGCUCACUGGUCGAGUCGGCCUGCGCGGAAGAUGUAACGGGGCUAAACCAUGCACCGAAGCUGCGGCAGCGACACUAUGUGUUGUUGGGUAGGGGAGCGUUCUGUAAGCCUGUGAAGGUGUACUGUGAGGUAUGCUGGAGGUAUCAGAAGUGCGAAUGCUGACAUAAGUAACGAUAAAGCGGGUGAAAAGCCCGCUCGCCGGAAGACCAAGGGUUCCUGUCCAACGUUAAUCGGGGCAGGGUGAGUCGACCCCUAAGGCGAGGCCGAAAGGCGUAGUCGAUGGGAAACAGGUUAAUAUUCCUGUACUUGGUGUUACUGCGAAGGGGGGACGGAGAAGGCUAUGUUGGCCGGG
rnacentral:rRNA from 1 species